UACGGAGGGGGCAAGCGUUGUUCGGAGUCACUGGGCGUAAAGGGCGCGUAGGCGGGUCAUCAAGUCUGGGGUGAAAUCCUUCGGCUCAACCGGAGAAGUGCCCCCGAUACUGGUGGUCUGGAGGGAGGUAGGGGUGUGUGGAACUUCCGGUGGAGCGGUGAAAUGCGCAGAUAUCAGGAGGAACACCAACAGCGAAGGCAGCACUCUGGGCCGGUACUGACGCUGAGGAGCGAAAGCAUGGGGAGCGAACAGG
rnacentral:rRNA from 1 species